AUACAUGAGCAAAAUCUCAACUUUAUUAGAAGAGACGCAUUUAUUAGAUAAAAAGCCAAUGCAUGCUUUUACAGUAUGAAAAUUGGUGAUUUAUAAUAACUUAGCAAAUCGCAAAGUGAAAACAGGCGAUAAAUCAUUCAAGUUUCUGACCUAUCAGCUUUCGACGGUAUGGUAUUGGCUUACCGUGGCAGUGACGGUUAACGGGGGAUUAGGGUUCGAUUCCGGAGAGGGAGCCUGAGAAACGGCUACCACAUCUAAGGAAGGCAGCAGGCGCGCAAAUUACCCAAUUCUAACAGUUUGAGAGAGGUAGUAACAAGAAAUAACAAUACAAGGCAGUUAAAAUGCUUUGUAAUUGGAAUGAUAGAAAUUUAAACCCUUUUUAAAGUAUCAAUUGGAGGGCAAGUCUGGUGCCAGCAGCCGCGGUAAUUCCAGCUCCAAUAGCGUAUAUUAAAAUUGUUGCAGUUAAAAAGCUCGUAGUUGAAGUUCUGCUGAAAGUAACCGGUCUGCUUUUAAUAAAAGUGGUAUCUUGGUAUGUAUUUAGCAAUGAUGUCCUUUGAAGUGUUUUUUACUUUAUUGUAAUAAAGCAUAUUCAGGACUUUUACUUUGAGAAAAUUAGAGUGUUUCUAGCAGGCCGACGCUUUGAAUACUGCAGCAUGGAAUAAUAAG
rnacentral:rRNA from 1 species